rnacentral:misc_RNA from 1 species
AGUUUCGUAGCGGCAUGCGCACGAGUAAGCCGUGUUUUUAUAACGCAGAGUGUUAUCGCAGUCCUUUGUUUACGCGGUCGAUGCAACUAUUUUUUUUGCGCCUCGCCUCAGCGAGCGAGGUCCGACCCGUCCUACGGGCCGCCAUGCAAAUUGCUUGCUUAUUAAUUUAGUGUGUAAAAAUGAGGGUGACAUGUUCAACCUGUGAACAAACCCUCUAUAAAAAAAAAAAAAUAGAUAAAAAAAAAAAAAAAAAAGAAAUGGUUGUGGAUCAUUUUAUUUUAUUACGUCAUAAAGAUUGACAAAGCAUGAACA